GAACGUACGCUGGCGGCACGCCUAACACAUGCAAGUCGAACGAAGUAGCAAUACUUAGUGGCAGACGGGUGAGUAACAUGUGGGUAUCUGCCCUUUGGCCUGGAAUAACACGAGGAAACUUGUGCUAAUACCGGAUAAGUCUUUACGGAGAAAGCUUUAUGCACCAUUGGAUGAGCCCGCACUUGAUUAGUUUGUUGGUGGGGUAAUGGCCUACCAAGACUGUGAUCAAUAGCUGAUUUGAGAGGAUGAUCAGCCACAUUGGGACUGAGACACGGCCCAAACUCCUACGGGAGGCAGCAGUGGGGAAUCUUGCACAAUGGAGGAAACUCUGAUGCAGCGAUGCCGCGUGAGUGAAGAAGGCCCUUGGGUUGUAAAGCUCUUUCGUCGGGGAAGAAAAUGACUGUACCCGAAUAAGAAGGUCCGGCUAACUUCGUGCCAGCAGCCGCGGUAAUACGAAGGGACCUAGCGUAGUUCGGAAUUACUGGGCUUAAAGAGUUCGUAGGUGGUUGAAAAAGUUAGUGGUGAAAUCCCAGAGCUUAACUCUGGAACUGCCAUUAAAACUUUUCAGCUAGAGUAUGAUAGAGGAAAGCAGAAUUUCUAGUGUAGAGGUGAAAUUCGUAGAUAUUAGAAAGAAUACCAAUUGCGAAGGCAGCUUUCUGGAUCAUUACUGACACUGAGGAACGAAAGCAUGGGUAGCGAAGAGGAUUAGAUACCCUCGUAGUCCAUGCCGUAAACGAUGUGUGUUAGACGUUGGAAAUUUAUUUUCAGUGUCGCAGCGAAAGCGAUAAACACACCGCCUGGGGAGUACGACCGCAAGGUUAAAACUCAAAUGAAUUGACGGGGACCCGCACAAGUAGUGGAGCAUGUGGUUUAAUUCGAAGAUACGCGCAGAACCUUACCAACACUUGACAUGUUCGUCGCGACUCUAAGAGAUUAGAGUUUUCGGUUCGGCCGGACGAAACACAGGUGCUGCAUGGCUGUCGUCAGCUCGUGUCGUGAGAUGUUGGGUUAAGUCCCGCAACGAGCGCAACCCUCACUUUUAGUUGCCAUCAUUAAGUUGGGCACUCUGAAAGAACUGCCAGUGAUAAGCUGGAGGAAGGUGGGGAUGACGUCAAGUCCUCAUGGCCCUUACGUGUUGGGCUACACACGUGCUACAAUGGUAUCUACAACAGGAAGCAAGACUGCGAGGUCAAGCAAAUCCUUAAAAGAUACCUCAGUUCGGAUUGCACUCUGCAACUCGGGUGCAUGAAGCUGGAAUUACUAGUAAUCGUGGAUCAGCGUGCCACGGUGAAUGCGUUCCCGGGUCUUGCACACACCGC
rnacentral:rRNA from 1 species